GGCCUGCCAGGAUCUGGCACCGGACGAGGGUGGCACCGUACCCGGACAGCGACAAGACGGGCCUU
rnacentral:ncRNA from 1 species